CUGAUCUGUUACCUUCUCACAAAAAUAGGCCAUAUUUGUGAUUUAUGUGAUAAGAAGCCACAAGGUUCUCGAGGUUUCAGAUGUAGCUCGGAUGAGAUGACAAUGAACUACAGAAAGAAGAGUCCAGAUAGAAUUGCCUUGGGAAAGGUGUUUGGAGCUGGGAACAAGAUGCUCUGAAUUUGAGUUCUGUUUCAUGAAUGAAUUAGCAGAAAGGCCUUGGGGAAUUUUAAGUUGCCCAUUUACUUAAUAGGCACUAUGUCCUCGACAUUGUAGUUUGUGCUGUUGGAGCUACAAAGACAUCCAAGACAUGAAUCCUAAGGACUUGCUACCUAGUAGGAAAGAAAGAACAUUCACAAAACAAACAGGUCACCAAAUGUAUUUUCUUGGUGGAUAUCCACAGUAGCUCAAGAACUGCAAUAAACCCUGAUAUUAACAACUGAAAGGCCAGGGAUUUAGCUCAGCGGUUCCGGCACCUGCCUUGCAAGCCCAAGGUCCCAAGUUUGAUCCCUGGUACCAAAAAAAAAUUGAAAAUAUUUUAACAUCUGGUUUAUCUGCAAUACUGUAAGCAUUUUGUUAUUAAUUAGAAUUAAUUCUAUCUGCUUUGGUUAAUGAUCUCCUUUGAAAGAUUUAUAAGCUUUCCUUUGGACAAAUAGCAACUUAUUUUGAUAAAGCACAAUCCUUAGUUUUCAAUAUUAAGCUACAUCCUUUAAAAUGGCUAUUAAUACUAAAGAAUAGAGGCUGUUAGUAGGAGACAUGUACAAUGUCAAAGGAAUGCACAUGCCAGUCAUGACUAAUACUAUUUCAGAGGAAAUUUCUAACAAAAAGGAGAUUUUUCCAUGUAAUAAGGCAUUUAUUUUAAUCAACAGAAG
ensembl:lncRNA